CGACCGGCGCACGGGUGAGUAACACGUAUGCAACCUGGCCGUCACAGGUGGAUAACCGGAAGAAAUUCCGACUAAUACAGCAUAACACUCCUGAGGGACAUCCUUCGGGAGUCAAAGGAGGCAACUCCGGUGACGGAUGGGCAUGCGGCGCAUUAGGUAGUUGGUAGGGUAACGGACUACCAAGCCGACGAUGCGUAGGGGUUCUGAGAGGAAGGUCCCCCACAUUGGAACUGAGACACGGUCCAAACUCCUACGGGAGGCAGCAG
rnacentral:rRNA from 1 species